CUCUGGAAGAGACAGUGACUUCAGCACAUGCACAGCCCCCUGGACACACGGAUUCCAGUCCCUGUUUCAGAAGCCAUGGCAGCUAAGAUCGCCUUUCUAGGCAGAAAUGAUUCUUGAGAAAAGAUGUCUUUUUCUUCCACCGAAUCUCAGCACCAGCUCACCUGCCACCCUCCACCGUUACGCUCUCUCUGCCUACUCCGCUGAAUUCUGUGUGUGUGCACAUUUACCUCUGUCCUCACCACAGCGUCUGUCCUGAGGGGCCCAGCCAGGGAUUUCUCACUGAACCUAGAGCUCACUGCUUCAGCCAGGCUGGAGAGCCAACGAGCCCCAGGAAUUAUUUCCACCUUCCCAGACAUCGGUAUGCACCACCAUAGCUGACUUUUCUGUGGUGACAAGAAUCUGAGCUGAGGCUCUCACGCUUUGUCUACUGAGCUCUCACCGGCACCAGACUUUCAGACUUGUGAGCUUCCCGUUCUCUUUCUCAACAUAACCUGCCUGAAAAGUCACCUGAGGUCUAAGUUAUACUGCAGUCUCCCUAGUGGAAGACUUCACCUUC